GUUCUUAGGAGCUUAGUUUUAGAAUUAUUCAUGAUACAAAAUAGUAACUGUAAAUAACUAGUAGGCUGAAUAAUUUAAUUCACUGAAGUGCAGAGAAUACUUGUAAAAAUUGUUUACCAUUACUGGGUAACUAAAGACAAAGGCACCGUGCAGGAUAGCUGGCUGAAAUGGCAGCUUUCAAUAGUCUGUGCAAGUAAAAUUGCCUCAUUUUCCCCUUUGUUUAGAUUUCAUUUUGCAUUGUAUUAUUUUAAGGAGACAUCAUUAAUCUUUCCAGUUUUUCUAUCAUCCCUGGGUCCCCCGUGGCUUGGGACUGCAGAUCUUGAUCAUUUUCAAAGUUCCUGGUGUCAGUACAUCCAUGCAGGACUGUGAUCAGAAAGAGAAAAAUCUUAUGAUGAUGCUGUCUUUGUCCCUAAGAAAGGAGUUGCAAAACCAAGCAGUUCUUUGGAGUCUUAGACUGCAAGUCCCAUAAAACAGUUUGCCAAAUGUGCAAAUUUGGAAACUUUGAUGAAUUUUCAUCGUCUGCUCUGAAAACAAAUUAUUUUUAAUAGUUCUGUAGGCAGCAUGGAUGGGAAGAUUCAUUACAAUCUACUGUAACUACGUCUGUGUAUCCUCUAAACUUUUCUUUACGUGGGUGCUUAAACAUUAUUGUCAGGUGUCUGGUGUGGUUCAUGAGCAGGAUUCCUUCUGUCAUCCACCCAUCAGUUGCAGUUACGAGGUGCUGCCAGGAGAGAAGGAAAUCUCUUGCUGUCUGUACAAGCCACGUUGGCCGUGGCGCCGGGCCCGUGCAGGCAGACAUCGGAGAAGGUUGCCUGUACUGGGGCACUGAGUUGCUCAGCUAGAGCCCUUUUCUCAGUGACAGUUCUGUGUUUUCACAUAGCUUUCUGUCAGGCUUUAAAAUCAAACCAACUUGUGGAAUUGAGAGCUUGCUCAACCCAGAAGGGUGUUGCUCCAGUAACGUAGGAAGCCUCUUCUUAAACUUCUGGUGAAAUCUUGACAAUGUUCCCAUCAGUGGGAAGGUUUGAAGGCUAGAGGUUACCACUGACUUGAGCAGGAUUAGACUUUUGCCUUGUGUGCCUAUACUUGGCUUAUAAUUAAGUUUCCAAUUCAUUUUAUAGAUGCUGAAAAUGUGUGGUGCCAGUUGACUGCUGUAGGACCUCAGUAGGAUGUUCGCAUUUCAAACAACAAAUUUUUUUAUCUCCUAACUUCUGAUGAGAUUUUAAGAGCAAUUUUAGAUGUUUAAACUUGACCUUUCAUCUACUUCAUUAAUUUAAGGAAAGCGGUAGUAUCUGUCCUACCUGUAGCUACUAGUAAGGUGAGCACAGAAAGCCUACAUCAUCAUACAGCAGUCUGGCAAUUUGCUGAAAGUGCAAAUGUUCUCGCUUGCCUACCAGUGAGUUGUCAGCUGGGAUUUCCUUUUCUUUGCUGUAUUAUUCCCUGCUUUCUCUUUGUGCCCUUGCUGUUAAUAAAAAACUCAGUAUAAAAAUCAAAUGGCGAAAACCAGAACUGAUGUAUGAAUAUGGCAUUUAAGAGCUUUUUUUUCCUUUUUUUUUUAAAGAGAGGUAAUAUUUGCUGAAUAUAACCAGUAUGUAUGGCUCUGUGGGUGUACAUACCACUGCAUGUUUCUGAGUUUUUUUGCAAUAAACUACAUGAUCUUACUUUUAACUUUUGUGAUCCCAAAAUCUUAACACCACCCUAUAACAAAUGUUGCAUUUACAUUAGCAGAUCUCAUCACUAUAUAUCCGUGAGUGCUGUGGGGCUCAGAUCAGUUGAAGACUGCUCUAGUUAGGUCUGUGAAAUAAAAUACAUCUCCUAAUCUUAGGUGGAGAAUUUAUGCAAAGAUAAUGUUUAACAAUAAGGAUGCUGAGGAGAAACUAAUCUGAACCGGGUUCUUCACAAGGAAAUUAGUUUGUUAAAUACUGACAGAGAGACUGAGUAAAGGGUAUUUGCUUUUUUUUUGGUACAUGUACACACUAUGAACACAGGAAGAUAGCUGAUUUUUAUUAACUGCAAGGGUGCAUUUUUUACAGUAAAGAAAUCCAUGUGCUUUGAGGAGAUAGUUAAGAUUGUAUUUCCUCAGAAUGAUUAAUGACAAAGGACAUAGAACCAGACACCCAGGCUGACUUUGAGGAUGAGUCAUUCAGAUACAAAUAUUAAGUAAACUGAGUUAUUUUCAUUGUACUUCUCUGAAAUGAUGUUUAGUAUAUAGCCCAACAGUGACAGAUUUUUGGUCUAGCACCUGCAGUGUUCUUUUUAAGCCUUAUGGGUUUUCUUUCUCAUGUAGUGAUAUUUUUUCAUAUCUUAAGAAGACUUACUGAAUUUAAAAACAGUUUCAUACCUUUAUAAACUUCUGUAUGUUAUGUAUUCAUUUGCUUAUUUGAAGAGAGAUAUGACAAGGAGCCAUUUCUGUAUGUAGUGUAUGAAUUCUACUGAAAAGACUUAAUUAUUCACUGUGAAAAUCCAUUUACCACAGGGUAAUUCGUUAUCAUAUAUUCACAGAUGUUUUGACAAGUGAAGUUUGAAAGGUUUCAAAGGAUGACAUUUCCAGCAUCAUCUAUGGAAGACUCUUGAUAAUCAAACAGGAACAUCAGUAUGAACUAUUUCCUAUUUUCAGUGUGCUCCUUUUAUUUUAAAUUCUUUAUAAGGAAAGAAAUUACUCAAUUAUAGUGCUCUUCUGUUCCUCCAUUCAUUCACGAGCACAUCCAACAGUCCUCUAAUAAUAUCUGAACAGGUAGCCAAUUUCAGCCAAAUUUGACUGAGAAUUAGAGGUCUCAAAACUAUUAAGGUCUUACACAUUUCAUGAAAAUUGAUACUAAAAGAGAGAGACUCAAGUUAGUGCCCUGCUGAGCAAAGCUCACUCACAUCUUGCCACAGGGAUUCUGCUUAAGUGAUUGCAAGCUCACACUAGUGAAGUUACACAAAUGUAAGUACUGGCUAGAUCAAGCCUCCAUUUUGUAGUGAACAACAAUAUUGGGUUUUAAAGUUUUUGCAACAAAAGUUUUUCGUGUUCUUUUUGCAUUUGGCCCUCCCUUGACUUUUGUUUUUGGCAACUGAAUUUUUGCUUCUUCAGCAAGAAGCUGCAAACACGUUUUUAAAACUGCACUGGAAUCGAUGUCUGCUGAAUUUCAGGCACUUUGUAACAACCUCUAUGUUAAUCUUACAGUUCAGGUGUUACUAGCAGAUUGUCUUCUGUGACUUGUUAUGAGGAAUCCUGAGAAGUUAUGGCUUGAUUCACUUUCAUUUUAGAUGGAUCAUUAAAACUUUUUUUGGAUGACUGAUAUGAUUUGUUUCAGAGGGAUUAAUGAAAUCCCUCCUGGUAAUGUGAUAGACUAAUUAAGGUUUGUUACUAGGAUAAAACAUGUUGCUUUAAAUAUUUUCAACAUGGUUUAAUUUCCUUUCUUGCCAAAGAACUCUCUUAUUUUCAUAGCAUCUGCCACUUUUAAUCUGUAAAAGUGCAUGGCAGUAUACCUUGGACUACAUUCUUACUGAGGCAGAAGUCCCACUCAUUUCAGGAUUAAAAUUUUAUUGUUAAUUAUAAUGGUUUUAAUCUCAGUUAGUCCUCAGUGGGAAUACAUACAUAAAUAUUUGAAUAAAUCUCUUUAUUAAACCAUUUGUUCUGUCGAAGCUGAAAUAUUUAACACAUCUGCCAGAAAGUGCCAGUUGAACAUGCUGGAUGCAAGCCUCCUAUAUUCACAGGCUUCCAGGCUGGUACCUUGGUACCACAGGUGAAAAUUUAUAGCCACCUGGCACCAGAAUCACUGCCCUGCCGUGUUGCUUGGCUUGGUGGACUUUGAUAUAUCACCUCUCCAUAGGUGACCUAUAUAGGAGUUCCUCUCUAUGGUCGCUCAGGGUCAAGGGCCAAGUGGUCCAUUGACAAUCAUGUCUCUUGCUUCUCUGGGAAGCUGUGCUUGCAUGAUACAAAGCAGAAUACACAGCUCCUAGGGCAUUUUUCUGGAGUUUUCCAGACCAGGUUUUACCAGGUCUGGAAAUUAUGAUCUUUGCUGUUUUCAUGGCCUUGAUCAUGAGCCUACCCACAAGGAAAAUAAGGCUUAAGGCAGCUCAGGAAACUUUUUCCUUAACUUGAUAUAACUUUAAUGCUAUCUCUUUGCUUAUAAUCAUCACCUUGGGUAUUUUCCACACUUUUUCCACUUUUGUGAUUUGUAAUACUGUACUGAACUGCCUUCACUAUUGAUUUAAAACAAAACUGCGUUCAUUUUUCUCACCAUUGUUGAAUGAAACUGUAAAAAUAAGAUCUGUUUGGUAUUUGGAUGCUUCUGGAUACUAAAAUAUUUUGUGUCAUCACUCCCUAAGCACAGGACUCAUGACAAAGCAUCACAUCAGAGUCUGAGUCAUAAAGGACUGUAAGUAAUGUCUGAAUUAAUAUAUGCUUCCUUGGAAGCAUUUCCACAAUUAUGUCUUGAAGCUUUCCCAUCGGUAGGUGCAUUAAUCUGUCCACACCAUGGGAGAAGCAAGAACUGGGUGCUUUUUCUAGGUUUACUCUUUUAUUUUGAGAAAAAUAUAGAAGGCAUAGCUCAUCAAUUUAAGCUGACUUUCCAUCACAGUGUGUGCCAGUGUUGAUAUUUUAGUGCAGAUAAGGAGUGCACUUUGAAACAACACCCCUGAUUGUCCUUACUGACUGUGCUUUGCUUCUCGUCAUGGGGUGGGGUUUGGAGCAUAUGGUCUAGAUUUCUUUGGAUGUAGCUCAAUUGGAGUAUAGAUUUCAGGAGUGCACCUAAGGCACUCCAUGACCACUAGGGCAUUUAGUCUAUGGGACCAGCCAAGAGUUAGUCCAGAGGUCUCUAAAAAAAACCCAAGACAAAAGCAAGAAAAAAACCCUUAAAACGUGUGUACUGUGGAUGUCAAGUAUUUCACCCUGAGUGUUCUGCUCUACCAAUGCUGUACUCCUGGUCUUCUGUGGAUGUGAAAACCACAGCACACAAUGCAGAUGUUACAUGCUUUUGAAGAGAAUAUCUUGGAGUUAUGAGAACAGUAGAACCACCUGUCCAUGUUUCUUCUUUAUCUCUUCAGAAAUUGUUUAAGCUUCCCGAACUCCUUACUGAGCAAGAAUGUAUGGGCACUGUACUGUCUUGUGUUUAGUGUCUGGUUAACCACUACAGCACUGAACCUUGUCAAGACACAUACUUGUAAUGUAUGUUGCCCUUCACUACUAAUUAAAAUCAUCAGCUUCUUUGUGUAUAGGGAGGAUGGGGAAAGCAGAGAGGUUUUCAGAUGUAUAUUAAUUUGUUCUUACACUGAUUUUGCCUUUGUUUCAAAGAAAUUAUUCUAGAGCUGCUCUGUUUUAAACAAUGAGAAAAUUAAGGGUCGUGGCUUGCCAUCGCCAUUUUAUUUAUGUGCCCCAAAAUACCUUGGAGGUUAUUCAAAUAAAUGCACUCCAUUCCAUUUACUUGACUGUCUGAUGGCUUAAUCAUGCAAAUAAAUGUGAGGAUGAUAUUUAUUUGACUGUCCAUCAUGUGGUCUCUUUGACUGGACAGUAAGGCAUACUUUCUUAAUACUUUUUUUUCCCCAAAGAAAAAAAUUAAAUUAAAUGCAAAAAACCCACCCCAUGCUGUAAUGCUACAGUUGAGAUUUUAAACACACAUAAGUCAGGACAUUCAGAGUUAUGACUCCCUAGAGCUUGUAGCUCAGCCAUGUUGUACAUGUGGUGUAGAUUAAAACAGUGAUUUCCUCUCCUUUCUGUAUUCCUUUCUCUUCUGUGUCUUUUCCUCUUUUUCUUUUAGCUCUUUUAUGGUGUCUGUGCUGGAGCUCCUCUGUGGGAUGGGUGAUCCUGCAAAGGCUCUGGUUGACAGGCAUGGAAGCAAAUCCUGUACAUGUGAGACUCUGGUACUGCUUGCAGCAGCAGAGGAGCACAGCAAAGAAAAGAGGGAGCCCAGGGACCACUUCUGGGGAGGCUAGAACCUCUCUGCAUGGGGAUGGUCCUGCCUCCACUUCAUACUCAUCUCACACUAGCUAUUCUGUGCUGUCCAUAUUGCAGAAUUUUCCAGAUAUUUUCCUCUUUUUGCGGGCAACUAGCAACAGGACAAGAGGAAAUGGCCUGAAGCAGUGCCAGGGGAGGUUCAGGUUGGACAUCAGGAGGAGUUUCUUCACUGAAAGGGUAGUCAAGCUGGGAACAGGCUGCCCAGGGAAAUAAUGGAGUCACCAUCCCUGGAGGUGUUUGAGAAAUGACUGGAUGUGGCACUUAGUGCCUCGGUCUAGUUGGACUUGAUGAUCUUGAAGGUCUUUUCCAACCUAAAUGAUUCUAUGAAGUAGCACAUUUUUUUUAUUUUUUUAUUUUUUUUUUUAAUGUGUGUGCACUUGUCUUGACUCUCUUCCUUGCUGUGCUUUAUUUGUGCUGGUCUGUGUUACAGGGACCGGCAAUGGUGUGUGGUAACAUAACAACAAACCUGUAGGUCCUCAUUCUGUGAAUGUCACAGAUACUCUGUGAAUGAGAUAACCAGACAAUGUGAUAACAUUUCUCCAGAGCCAGAUAUAGCCUAUAAAGGAUGACAAUAAAGGAUGGAUGCUUCUCAGCAUUCAUGUUAAUAAAAAUUAUCUGAAAAGAAUAUGUGAGUUCCCACUAUUAUUUCCUGGAUCUUACCCUUUUUCCUUGAUUCUUUUUAUAUUCUGUAUUCCUACAUAACUUGAAGAAAGUAUUAUACACUCUUUCAUGUGGUUACUGUUUCUUUGCUGGCCUCACAAAUAACUUGCAGUGUUUUCUGACUUGGCAUAGUAAAACUCCCAGAGUUCCUCAACAAUAUAAAUUUCUGGAGACCGAUAGGUGUAAAUUGCCCUGAAGAGAAUGCUGGUUUCUUUGCAAGCCUCUAGGCCAAAUCCUGUAAUGGAAGAGCUCAUCUGUCCAACUGCUUUUUUUUUUUUUUUUUACAAGUGCAUAUCAUUAUACCAGUCUCUGGAUUUUCCAAAGAAAAAAUACUUGUAUUUGAGACUGUCAUUAUUAGUAGUUGCAGAUUUUUAAAUUUUAUAAACAUUGAAAUAACUAAAAUAUUAUUCUAAAUCCUUUUGAAAUAAUAGUUUUGGUUUAGUUAUUGUGUGUUAAGCACUUACUGUAGUAAAAAUAAACACAUUUCUAUUUCAACUUAUACAAGCAGGAUAUUAUUUCCCAGCUCCUCAGGGCAGGGAUUGUACUUUUCCUUGUAUCUGCAAAUUAUAUAUUCGAAGAGGGGCUCUAUCCUCCAUACCGCAUCAACAUUAAUACUGAGUGAGGAUCUUCAUAUGGAAAAUAUUGAAUCCGAGUGCACGGAAUUCUGUAAAUACGAGCAGCCUAUUGUACAAUCAUGACAGCACUUUUCUGUUUCAGCUGCUCGUAUUUCUCUCCUUGGUUCCUUUACAUGUCUUUGUUUAAUUGACUGGAGGGGAACAAAGCAGAAAAGUGAGAGCCUAAAAUUAAUAUCUGAAAUGCAGUUGCUCUGAAAAAUCACUUUCUGGUGUUCUAUGAGGUGGCUAAAGGAUUUAUGUUCUGCUAUGUUGAGCGUGAUGAGUACAUGCAUUGCUGAUUUAAGGAGGAAUUCUGUCUCAGGUCUAAAUCUUCCCAGUGCUUCAUGGACUAGUCUCCGCUAUGUGCCAGCCAUGCUCACCCACAUUCCCUUGGGAACAGUGUUCCUGGUGUUGUGGGACUGCUGUGUUUGUGACGAACUCAGAGCUAUUGUUCAGCUGCCUCUCUCCAGCCAGCCAUGUGCACAGUGGCCAGUCACAUUCAGCUCUGGAGCUGGUACACCUUUUUCUGAUGGGUUCAGUUUAUUGGGUUCAAGUUUACCUCCUUUCUAAAGACGGUUCUUUCCUCAGGCAUAUAAGAAAAGAUCAUCCAGACAUAAACAUGCCGCAUCUCACUGUGAUACUGUGACAGUAUCAGUAACAGACUAGCUACUAGUUAGCAAUACUAGUCACAUAAUAGUGUGUCAGUAAACUGUCUGUAAUUAGUGUGCUGUAGCUGUCUUUACACAUUGGCUUCUUGUCUUUACACAGUGGCGUUGUGCUUGGAUGCCUCCCAUGACAGCACGCUCGGUGAGAACCUCAUUGUAUCUGUGCUGACCCCUUGGACAGUAUAUUUGGAACUUUCCUGAUGAACUCUGCCUGUUCCUGCAGGUCAAUAGCUUUAUCGUUUGCUAAAUUCUUGCUUACUUGGUCAUGGAGCCGAAAUCUGAGCAAGGUUGAAGAAGUCCAAGAAAUAAAAGCAGAUGUAAAGGAAUUAGGUUGGAUAUGUGGUUUUAGUCAGUGUUGCCAGUUCAGUUUCUAUUUUACAACAGGCUUUAACAUUGGAUAAAUAUUGUAUUUUUAGUAAAAGAAAAUACUUGCUAGUACAAAAGAAAGUGUAUUCCAAGAUUUAGUGGGAAUUAUACUACCUUUUUGUCCUUGGUCUGAAGAAAGAAAUAAACUAAACUCAUUCAGGGGCCUGGUUUUGAUAAAAUAAGAGGAGAAAUUCAGGGCAAUCACAAAAUGGGAGAAAGUAACAGACAUUAUGAGAAAAUACUGGCUAGAGCAGCAGUCAUUGCCAGCACUAUACUAUAAUUGAGUGUACCAGGUUAUUGGGUUUGUUUUUAAUGAAAUCCUGCAAAAUCCAGUACCUUUUGUCCCUGGUUAAAUAUUUACAGAUUAUAUUUGGAAGUUGCUAUCUGAAUUAAGUUAAAAGAUCCUACUAUUUUGUAUCUCACAUGUUUGCAUAAACCAUAUCAGUUCACAUUUAAUAAGGUUUGCUAUCAAAAGAAACACAAACUGUUUAACUUAACAUCUGCGGCUUUGUCAGGUUUUUAGGGGUUACAUGUCUGAGUAGAUUUAUUUAACUCAAAGAAGGAAUUAUGGAAACAAUUAAAUUUCUUCCAUAUUUUCGUGUCACUGACAGGCUUCCAGUUCAGCUUUACAAUAUGGUGUUUCUUUGUAUGCUGCUAAAGCAAGACAUUCUGCAGGAACAGAAAAUCUACCAUUUUUCUUAUCGCCACAAGCAUAUGAUAUCUGCCAUCAACAGCUGGGAAAAUUUCCAUUAAAAUAAAUAUAAGAGAAAGAAAUAUUUCAAAACACUUUUAAACUAAGUCCCAGUAGGUGUAUAUUGCAAGAGCACACACCAGUGUAACUCUGGAUUAUAUUGAUUUUCAUUUUUUUCAUUCGUUGUGGUAAGGCUGCCUUAGAUUAUUUGUUUAAAUACAUUCACAUAUUUACAUGAAAUUGCUCUGGUUAUGCACAGUGUGCCCACCAUUAAAGGUUACAGUUUGGAUUUGUACUUGCUUAUGGAAGAUAAAAUAAAAGCAACACACUUAAACCUGCCAAUUGUCGUCAAAGAUGCAUUUUUUAAAGGGCUCCCCAUUAAUUCUUUCUUUCUUUGUGAACUACUAUUGUAAAUAUGAUGCUGCUGUCCCACAGCAAGUAUCUAUCUGGAAAGCCAGGUUAUUUUCAAAAGCAGUAAAAAACAUGCAUAGUGAGAAAAAUUACUCGAUAGUUCAUCGUGUCCUUCCUGCUUCUAACAAAAAAUUGUUCAAUACAAUGUAUUUUCCAUUAUUUUGCCCUCUCCACUGGCAUACAGUUCUCUAUACUUUCCUGAUGAAGUCUACUCUUGUGCACAUCUAGUUAUUACAAUCUUUUGCAAGUCUGUAAAUCCUCCUAAGAGAAUCCCUCUUUUCUCUGUUGCAUUCUCUUACAGUGCCCUCCACAACUUUUCCCAAUGGUAGAGAUUCUGAGUGGUUGCCACUGUCAUGACAUAAGAAUAAUUUACAUUCUUCUAGUCUGCCUAAGAGGAACUAGUCCUUCAUAGGAUUUGUAGGAUCCAGCUGGAACCAGUUAAACUUUUUUAGAGCUCCAUCUUUGUGACCAGCUCAGAUCAACUAAGGAAAGGAGAAAGCUUGUCCUCUUUUUCAUCUCAUUGGCACAGGGCAGUGUAUUUGAAAUGUAUCAGACAAAGCAAGAAUAUUUGAACUCUUUUAUUUACUGUAGCUUUACGCUAAUCAUCAUUGUUCUCUCGGUCAGCCUCUAUGGAAAAAAAUGCAGUAUCCCUCAUCUUGAUUCACCUGAGAGAACUACACUGCCUGAGCUAUUGUGAAGAGAGAAAAGCAAACUAGAUUUAAUUUUGGGCAAGAUUUGUAUUGGAGACCCCAGAUCCGGACACACCACUCCAGGUGGGGUCUUGCCAGAGUGAAGUAGAGGGGCAGAAACCCCUCCCUCGCCCUGCUGGCCAUGCUGCUUUUGAUACAGUCCAACACAUGUUUGACUUUCUGGGCUGCAAGUGCACAUUGCCAGGUCAUGUCCAGCCACUCAUCCACCAGCACCCCCAAGUCCUUCCUGGCAGGGCUGCUCUCCAUCUGUUUAACCUCCAGCCUCUUUGAUACCGAGGGUUGCCUCGACCCAGGUGCAGCGUCUUGCACUGGAUCAUAUUGAAGCUCAUGAGCCACCUUCCUGAGCUUGUCCAGAUCCCUCUGGGUGGCAUCCUGUCCUUCACAUGUGUCAACUACAGCACUCAGCUUAGUGUCAUCUGCAAAUUUGAUAAGGGUGCACUCAUUCCCUUCAUUUGUGUCAUUAAUGAAGAUAUUAAAUAUGACUCAUCCCCAUACGGAUCCCUGGGGGACACCACUUGUCACUGAUGUCCAUUGGGACUCUGAGCUGUUGACCACUACCCUCUGGAUGCAACCAGCCAACCACACUUAUCCAUCUAACAGUCCACUCAUCAAAUCCAUCUCUCCCCAAUUUAGAGAGAAGGAUGUUGUGGGAGCCUGUGCCAAAAGCUUUACAGAAGUCCAGAUAAAUGCCUUGUGGAUGGCAUGAAAAUGUAAGAACCACCAAAAUAGAAGGGCAGCUGUCUCUAGUUUUUCACUGGUUUAAAAACUACUGAUAAUCCUAAAAUAAGUUAAGGUCUGCUCAGUAACCUGAGACAGUAGAAUGUUGUUAUUCUGUAUGUCUGAAUGCCAGUUUGAGCAUUUUUUGGAAGGUGGAGAAACGCGAAAGGUUUCAUCCCUUUGUCCAUGUUCUUGCACCUGACACACAUGCUCCAACACUAGGAGACUGGAGGACUGUUGGGUUGGGUCACUCAGCUUUCUUCAGACAGGAAACACUCAGAGGCACAUCGUGCUUCAGACUGUUAAGUGAGAGUGUUGCUCCAGAGGGAAAUGUCUCUGAAUUAAAACAUACUUGUUCUCACCUGUAUGAAAUUACCUGUUUUUUGGCAAGUAGAGCUUAUUCUAUCCCCCUGUGUAGUAGUUGGCUUUUGGAUUUUUUAGGCCUUCCUUAGCAAUGGGGGUCAGAAAUCUAAGGAAGUAUUCCAUAUCAUCCUUAAGCGUAACACAACAUAUAAAUAAGGCGCAGAUAAGAGAGUUCACCCUCUUCUCUCUUCUGGUGGCUGAAGGCGACAGGUCUCUCCACAGACGGUCUUUGCUUGUAUAGGCCAGGGCCUGCCUGCUUAGACCUGCCGUUAUCUCUGGUCCUUCUGGGAGGCGUGGGGAGUUGGCUGGUGCCUCGCACAGUUCUGUUGUCUUGUUCAGGGAAGUAUUUAAUUUGGUUUUUUAUUUGUUUAUUCGCUAGCUCUCUAUUAGCGGUGUAUAUUUGGAGGGAAUUUGUUUUUAGGGUUUUUUUAUCCCUGUUUCCCCCUCCCUUUUCCCUUUUUUCCCCCUCGGGAGCUUCCUAUUGUGUGUAUAAUAUAUUCAAAUUGUAUAUAUAAUUGUAAAUAUAUGUAAAUAUAUAUUUUUGAUAUAAUUUCAUUUUUGUUUGGACUUCCUUCGGUUUUUCUGUGGUUUUUUUUUUUUUUCCCUCGCUUGACAGAGCGGGAGGGGGGGAGGAGACAGCUUAGGCUGGGCAAGAGAGCCAGGCCAAACUUACACAAAUUCUCUGUCAAUCCCUCUUUGUGCCAAGUGGAGAGCAGAGAUGGAAGAUGAUCUGCUAAUGGCAGAGCUGAAGAAAAUUGCCUGCAUGCCUAAAACUAACAAUGAUUCCAGCUCUGGAGACACUGGUUCAAAACUGGUAUCACGACAAUAAGUAUCACAUAUCCUUGUAUUUGAAGGCAUUUACCAUCAUCAAGAAAGGCUGGAGAGGAGCCACCUCAGCUGAUGGGAGGGACCCCCUGCACAGCCUGUGCAGCACAAGGGCAACACGCUGGCAGGGCAUCAGGGCCUCUCCCAGUCCUCAGAAACAAAUGAGAUCAAAUGAUCUCAUGUAUCCCGUUUUUAGCCUAAAAGACUUUUCUGCUGUUUUUUCUCAGAGUUUCUACCCAAACCCAGCAGUUUUGGGUGUGCCCACAGCACCUCCUGCCAGCCACGGAGCCGCAACGUGAGUGGAGCAGCACCUCAGGCUCGUCUGUCUGUUCCAGCAACUGAGAGGUGUUGCUUUGCUUCAGCACAAUGGAGUGAGGUUUUGUAAUGAAACCAGCUCUGGAAUUCAUAUUUCCAGAUAAAUAAUAAAGGAAAAGUGGAUGUUUCUGCCUCCUGAUUCUGGGACUAACAGCUAAGUUUAUUUCCUGAUUAGUCCCUAUACGAAGCCUCCAUUGAUUUUAACAAAAUUAAGUUUAUGACAUAUAAACAUAUCUACUUAUAGGCUGCAGCCGUGUUCCAGCUUUAUGUGAUUGGGGCAUCUGAAGAAGGCUCAAGAGGAGUGGCAGAGGUGCUUGGAGUAUUGAAUCUUGCAGUUCAGUGAACAUGUGUUAGAAACAGUAGUGGAGGAGGAUCGAACUGACUCAUACAUAGAUCAGGGUCACAGUCUGGUGCUCACCAAAGGAGAUAAGCUUCCCCAUCUGCGUUUUGAGUGCAAGCACAUGCUGAAAGUGGGAGGAGGGUUUUGCUGAGACGACAGAAGCAUAUGUGCAGAGAAUGUCUAUUCUUGCAUGUAGCUCUCUUCUGCAAAAUACCAGUGAUCAAGAAGAUACUGGAGCUUGCGUUGUAGAUUGUUACAUUUAUGGAAUUGAGAACAAGGAUAAAAAUGUAAGUAAAAUGAUAAAAAAGUCAAGAAAGGGAGAGAGCAAAGACCUGCUUGUGAGCCUUUACCUUGAAGACAUGGCCAUGCAUCCCAGAGGGGUGAAAGGAAUGCCUUGGAGAAGGCAGGAUGGCAAGAAGCCCUCUUCAACCUCUGGAUGUUCAGCACACAAAUCCCUGAGAAGGCCAGGAUUUCUUGAGAAUACUUUCUUCCAUUAAUUUUUACAGCAAAUAAAGUAGUUGAAGAACGUGGAAA